GUAUGAUAUUCGCAAGAAUUUGGCCUGGGACAGUGCCUUUUUCAGAAGUCCAGGAGUUUUGGAUCCUGAAGAGUUGUUUGAGACUUUGAACAUUAAUGCUGGAGAUAAGGGACUCAAGGAACCAAGUGGUUUACCUUCGGAAUCUGUGGCAGCGAGUAGGAUCGGUGAUUGCAUUGCCCGGAGAAGUUUAGCUUGGGAUGCAGCCUUUUUCACCAGUGCAGGGGUAUUGAAUCCAGAAGAGGUGUGUUUGGUAAACAAUGGAUAUAGGAAGUCUGAAACAGUACCACAUAUACUUCCGGGAAUCGAACAAGAGUUUUGGAAAUCUACUGAAUCAGACUCUACAUUGGAUAGUG